UACGUAGGGUGCAAGCGUUGUCCGGAUUUAUUGGGUUUAAAGGGUGCGUAGGCGGUCUAUUAAGUCAGUGUUUAAAUUUUGCAGCUUAACUGUAGGUAUGGCAUUGAUACUGAUGGACUUGAAUAUUAGAGAGGUAGCUAGAAUUUAUGGUGUAGCGGUGAAAUGCAUAGAUACCAUAAGGAACACCGAUAGCGGAGGCAUGUUACCAUCUGGUUAUUGACGCUGAGGCACGAAAGUGUGGGGAUCAAACAGG
rnacentral:rRNA from 1 species